GUACGUGCAUCUGUAUUAUUUAAAUAAUGAGCUUCAAGAAUAUAGAUGUUUUACACACACACAUACACACACACACACACACACCUAAUCAUAAUUUACACUUCUGCUACCAGUGUUUUACCAUCACACACACACACACACACACACACACACACACACACGUCAAAGGAUCAAGUUUCCACCCAGUGUUUUGUUCUUGAAUUUUAUUUAUUUAAUGAUUCCAUUUUUCAUAAGAACUUGGUAGAAAACAAAGUGAGACUACUCUUUAACCAUUUACCAAUGUCCAUCAAUCAACUUUAAAUCACCGUCAAGAUACAACUACAUUGGCAAUAGACAAAUGCUUCCCUGUACACACUAUCCACUGAACAGCCCCCUUGUCAUCAAUGCCAAUGGGAGAAAAAAAACCCACUACUUUAUUAACAGCCAAACGACAUUUCCAUGUAAAAAAAAAAAGUGUAGUCGUCUCUCCUGUUUUUACCCUCUCCGUCCUCCUCGUGGCAAAACAACACAUUGAACAUUGCAAGCUCAUUACUAUGCAUAAUUGGCAAACAAUAUAUUUAAAAAACAGUCCCAAUGUUUAUUUUCUUAUUUUUUUUUGUUCAUCGUUGAUAUAAAGAAUAUAAAAUAAUAAUAAAAAGAUGUAUGUUUUUAUCAUUUGUUCAAAGGUUGUGUCUGAGUGUAUUAAAAUAGAUUUGUAUUGAAACACUGCACAGUUUCUCCCGGAGGAUUCUGGGUGAUGUAGUCUGGGAUACCUCUGGAUGGGGAUAAUGGAUGAAGGGCACACUGUGGAGGUGGUAGAAGCUGCUUCACUAAAAACCUCUGAUCUGAAGUCAGGUUAUGUAUUCUGUAUUCUCCUAAUGUUAAAGUGAGCCUGAUCCUAGAUCUGUGGGGUUGAACUUGAUGCAACGUGAUAUGGCACCAGUCUUUCCCUCUCUUGGGGAUUUGAUUCCCAUCAGAAUGGUAGACCGUAUGCUGUGCAGAUGCUCAUCUCUGUCACGGUCUGGCGUGAUAUUCCAUGUUGGAAGAGGCAGAGCUCAUGAUAUGUAUUGAAUGUUGGACAAGACUAAGGAAUGGUAAAGCCCUAUUAGAAAGAAAGAGUCGGACGGACGGACGGACGGACGGAUCAGUAGAUAGACAGAUAGAUAGAUAGAUCAGUAGACAGAUAGAUAGAUAGAUCAGUAGACAGAUAGAUAGAUAGAUCAACAGAUAGAUAGAUAGAUCAACAGAUAGAUAGAUAGAUCAGUAGACAGACAGACAGAUCAGUAGAUAGACAGAUAGAUAGAUAGAUCAAUAGAUAGAUAGAUCAGUAGACAGACAGACGGAUAAGUAGAUCAGACAGAUCAGUCGAUAUGUUAGUUAGUUGAUAUGGAUGUCCUCAGUGUGUUUUGAGGCUUGGUAUGGAUGACAGUUGGAUCAGUCCUCUCUAUAGUCCUAGCGCUGUCAACAACUCCUGCCCAAAGUGUUCUACACUACAUCAUAGAUUCCGGUCUCUUAAAUAAAAUAAAAUAAUAAUCUCCAAAAAACAAGUCUUUUAUUCGAUAUGUAUUGGUGGUCUCUUCUAAUUAUUGCAUUUACCUUCUCAUUUGAUCAGUUUGGUUCCAACACAAAUACAGAUUAUAAUAUGUUGUCCUCUCUUUAGAGUGAUAUAUUUUCUCUUGAUUCCCAUUGUUUGUUUUUGUUCCUCAGUGUGUCAUUUUAGAAUAGAGGGAUCCCACAACACAGCAUUGAUUUGAUCAUCAGGAACACCUUUACACCUUUAGGACCCCCCCGUGAUGAAGUCUAACUAGAGAUCAACACUGAGCUGUUGCAGAGUGAUAUGACAGUCCUCUUCCCCCCCAUUCACUGGUGUUUGAUUGUUUAUUAAAUUAUAGAAUAAAGAAACCCUGGUUGGAUUCUAGUUGUUCUCGAGGCAGUGUUCAUUUUGUACCUUCUAGCAGACUAGAAAACAGUUCAUUUGUACCUAUCUAACAGACUAGAAACAGAACAAUAGAAACAGUUGAAAUCAGCAGGCUCUUCAAAUGUCAAGUCAUCAUAACGAACAUCAUUUAGAG
ensembl:lncRNA